rnacentral:rRNA from 1 species
UUAAGUUAUUAAGGGCGCACGGUGGAUGCCUUGGCACUAGAAGCCGAUGAAGGACGUUACUAACGACGAUAUGCUUUGGGGAGCUGUAAGUAAGCUUUGAUCCAGAGAUUUCCGAAUGGGGAAACCCAGCAUGAGUUAUGUCAUGUUAUCGAUAUGUGAAUACAUAGCAUAUCAGAAGGCACACCCGGAGAACUGAAACAUCUUAGUACCCGGAGGAAGAGAAAGAAAAUUCGAUUCCCUUAGUAGCGGCGAGCGAAACGGGAAGAGCCCAAACCAACAAGCUUGCUUGUUGGGGUUGUAGGACACUCUAUACGGAGUUACAAAGGACGACAUUAGACGAAUCAUCUGGAAAGAUGAAUCAAAGAAGGUAAUAAUCCUGUAGUCGAAAAUGUUGUCUCUCUUGAGUGGAUCCUGAGUACGACGGAGCACGUGAAAUUCCGUCGGAAUCUGGGAGGACCAUCUCCUAAGGCUAAAUACUCUCUAGUGACCGAUAGUGAACCAGUACCGUGAGGGAAAGGUGAAAAGCACCCCGGAAGGGGAGUGAAAUAGAACCUGAAACCGUGUGCUUACAAGUAGUCAGAGCCCGUUAAUGGGUGAUGGCGUGCCUUUUGUAGAAUGAACCGGCGAGUUACGAUUUGAUGCAAGGUUAAGCAGUAAAUGUGGAGCCGUAGCGAAAGCGAGUCUGAAUAGGGCGUUUAGUAUUUGGUCGUAGACCCGAAACCAGGUGAUCUACCCUUGGUCAGGUUGAAGUUCAGGUAACACUGAAUGGAGGACCGAACCGACUUACGUUGAAAAGUGAGCGGAUGAACUGAGGGUAGCGGAGAAAUUCCAAUCGAACCUGGAGAUAGCUGGUUCUCUCCGAAAUAGCUUUAGGGCUAGCCUCAAGUGAUGAUUAUUGGAGGUAGAGCACUGUUUGGACGAGGGGCCCCUCUCGGGUUACCGAAUUCAGACAAACUCCGAAUGCCAAUUAAUUUAACUUGGGAGUCAGAACAUGGGUGAUAAGGUCCGUGUUCGAAAGGGAAACAGCCCAGACCACCAGCUAAGGUCCCAAAAUAUAUGUUAAGUGGAAAAGGAUGUGGCGUUGCCCAGACAACUAGGAUGUUGGCUUAGAAGCAGCCAUCAUUUAAAGAGUGCGUAAUAGCUCACUAGUCGAGUGACACUGCGCCGAAAAUGUACCGGGGCUAAACAUAUUACCGAAGCUGUGGAUUGUCCUUUGGACAAUGGUAGGAGAGCGUUCUAAGGGCGUUGAAGCAUGAUCGUAAGGACAUGUGGAGCGCUUAGAAGUGAGAAUGCCGGUGUGAGUAGCGAAAGACGGGUGAGAAUCCCGUCCACCGAUUGACUAAGGUUUCCAGAGGAAGGCUCGUCCGCUCUGGGUUAGUCGGGUCCUAAGCUGAGGCCGACAGGCGUAGGCGAUGGAUAACAGGUUGAUAUUCCUGUACCACCUAUAAUCGUUUUAAUCGAUGGGGGGACGCAGUAGGAUAGGCGAAGCGUGCGAUUGGAUUGCACGUCUAAGCAGUAAGGCUGAGUAUUAGGCAAAUCCGGUACUCGUUAAGGCUGAGCUGUGAUGGGGAGAAGACAUUGUGUCUUCGAGUCGUUGAUUUCACACUGCCGAGAAAAGCCUCUAGAUAGAAAAUAGGUGCCCGUACCGCAAACCGACACAGGUAGUCAAGAUGAGAAUUCUAAGGUGAGCGAGCGAACUCUCGUUAAGGAACUCGGCAAAAUGACCCCGUAACUUCGGGAGAAGGGGUGCUCUUUAGGGUUAACGCCCAGAAGAGCCGCAGUGAAUAGGCCCAAGCGACUGUUUAUCAAAAACACAGGUCUCUGCUAAACCGUAAGGUGAUGUAUAGGGGCUGACGCCUGCCCGGUGCUGGAAGGUUAAGAGGAGUGGUUAGCUUCUGCGAAGCUACGAAUCGAAGCCCCAGUAAACGGCGGCCGUAACUAUAACGGUCCUAAGGUAGCGAAAUUCCUUGUCGGGUAAGUUCCGACCCGCACGAAAGGCGUAACGAUUUGGGCACUGUCUCAACGAGAGACUCGGUGAAAUCAUAGUACCUGUGAAGAUGCAGGUUACCCGCGACAGGACGGAAAGACCCCGUGGAGCUUUACUGUAGCCUGAUAUUGAAAUUCGGCACAGCUUGUACAGGAUAGGUAGGAGCCUUUGAAACGUGAGCGCUAGCUUACGUGGAGGCGCUGGUGGGAUACUACCCUAGCUGUGUUGGCUUUCUAACCCGCACCACUUAUCGUGGUGGGAGACAGUGUCAGGCGGGCAGUUUGACUGGGGCGGUCGCCUCCUAAAAGGUAACGGAGGCGCUCAAAGGUUCCCUCAGAAUGGUUGGAAAUCAUUCAUAGAGUGUAAAGGCAUAAGGGAGCUUGACUGCGAGACCUACAAGUCGAGCAGGGUCGAAAGACGGACUUAGUGAUCCGGUGGUUCCGCAUGGAAGGGCCAUCGCUCAACGGAUAAAAGCUACCCCGGGGAUAACAGGCUUAUCUCCCCCAAGAGUUCACAUCGACGGGGAGGUUUGGCACCUCGAUGUCGGCUCAUCGCAUCCUGGGGCUGUAGUCGGUCCCAAGGGUUGGGCUGUUCGCCCAUUAAAGCGGUACGCNAGCUGGGUUCAGAACGUCGUGAGACAGUUCGGUCCCUAUCCGUCGUGGGCGUAGGAAAUUUGAGAGGAGCUGUCCUUAGUACGAGAGGACCGGGAUGGACAUACCUCUGGUGUACCAGUUGUCGUGCCAACGGCAUAGCUGGGUAGCUAUGUGUGGACGGGAUAAGUGCUGAAAGCAUCUAAGCAUGAAGCCCCCCUCAAGAUGAGAUUUCCCAACUUCGGUUAUAAGAUCCCUCAAAGAUGAUGAGGUUAAUAGGUUCGAGGUGGAAGCAUGGUGACAUGUGGAGCUGACGAAUACUAAUCGAUCGAAGACUUAAUCAA